rnacentral:lncRNA from 1 species
ACUUUGGUGCGAUUUCAAAACUUUCCAUGAACUAUUUUUUUUAUCCAAUUUUCCAUGAACUUAAACGCCUGAACAAUUUUUCCACGAAUUUUUCCUCCGGUGAAACUCCGGGCUGACAUGGCAAUUUUUAGGCAAUACGAGCUGAUAUGGCGCUUAUGUGGACCAAAAAUUGCCACAUGGAAAAUAAUAUAUAAAAAAAACAAAAAAAGCUAAUUCUUCUUCUUCCUCACCCUUCUCUCUCUCCCUACGUUCCCUCUCUUCUCUCUUGUCUCUCUCUCGCUCUCCUCCGGCGGACUUCGCCGGUUUUCGCCGCCUCCGGCGCCGCGAGGCCGGCGCCUUUUCUUCUCCCUCUUUCCUUCCUCCAUUUUCCCCACCGGCCAAACCCUAAUUUCAGUCGCCGCCCACCUGCCGCCGCACCAGAUCCGGCGCCCCUCCCGCCGCCACGCCAGUCGCCGCCCUCUCCGCUCUGCUCCGAUUCGCGACCUUUACCACCACCACACCAGAUCCGCCGCCCAUACCCUGCAGAUCCGCCGCCUCCUUCACCACCGCCUCCGGCACCAAACGUCUGCUGGUUCCAUAGAAUUCCUCGCCGGUGGUGAGAGACGAGGGCGUGAAGGGGCCGGCGAGAAGGAAAAGGGGUGCGAAGGCACCAGAUCCGCCGCCCCUACGCUGCCUUUCCCCACCACCACACAAGAUUCGCAGCGUCACGAUUUAGUCGCGGAGGAGACGGAGGAAAUCAAAGCAAUUAAUAGGUGAACUCUGGCCCAUCCCUUGCUCCGAUUCGCGGUAGGCAGCGGCAAUAGCUGCGUCUCAUCUUCAAGCAGCAGCAGCUCCGAUUCGCGGCGGCGGCGGCGGCGUCAAUUCCAGGAGAGAGAAAGUGGAGAGAGAGAGAGAAGAGCGAGAGAGACAACACACAUGAAAAACGACGUCGUUUUAUCACACCUAAACGGCGUCGUUUUAUUAAUCGUCCGGCAAUUCCACGUCAUUUUUCCAGUAACUUAAAAUGUGCCAUGUCAGCUUUGAAUUUGGGGAUUUUAGAAAUCAUGGAAAAAUUGUUCAAGUCCUUAAGUUCAUGGAAAAUUGGAUAAAAAAAAUAGUUCAUGGAAAGUUUGGAAAUCGGCCCAAAGUUCAUGGUUUUUUACGGUAUU